rnacentral:snRNA from 1 species
UCAGCCAGCAAAUCAGAGACA